rnacentral:rRNA from 1 species
CCUACGGGGGGCAGCAGUGAGGAAUAUUGGUCAAUGGACGCAAGUCUGAACCAGCCAUGCCGCGUGCAGGAAGACGGCUCUAUGAGUUGUAAACUGCUUUUGUACGAGGGUAAACGCAGAUACGCGUAUCUGUCUGAAAGUAUCGUACGAAUAAGGAUCGGCUAACUCCGUGCCAGCAGCCGCGGUAAUACGGAGGAUUCAAGCGUUAUCCGGAUUUAUUGGGUUUAAAGGGUGCGUAGGCGGUCGGAUAAGUUAGAGGUGAAAUCCCGAGGCUCAACUUCGGAAUUGCCUCUGAUACUGUUCGGCGAGAGAGUAGUUGCGGUAGGCGGAAUGUAUGGUGUAGCGGUGAAAUGCUUAGAGAUCAUACAGAACACCGAGUGCGAAGGCAGCUUACCAAGCUACUUCUGACGUUGAGGCACGAAAGCGUGGGGAGCAAACAGGAUUAGAUACCCCAGUAGUC